rnacentral:siRNA from 1 species
GAUGCUUGUUAUUUUGAGUCAUU